CUUACCUUAAUAGAAAGAGUGACGGGCGAUGUGUACAUAUUUUAGAGCUAAAAUCAAAAUUAUAAUCUUUUAAUUUUUACUAUCAAAUCCACCUUCAUUAAAAUAUUUAAAAAUUAAAUUCAUUUAAAUAAAUUUAUUGUAACCCAUCUCUACUUAAAUAUAAGCUACACCUUGAUCUGAUAUAAAUUUUAAUCUAAAUUACUGAAAAUUAUUUUUCUAAUAAAAUAUUCUAAUAACGACGGUAUAUAAACUGAAAAACAAACUUAAGUGAGGUACAUCGUGGAUUAUCAAUUACAGGACAGGUUCCUCUGAACAGACUAAAAUACCGCCAAAUUUUUUAAGUUUCAAGAACAUAACUAAUACUACCUAAGNGCNUUUUUUUACAUUUUAAANAAUA
rnacentral:rRNA from 1 species